GACGAACGCUGGCGGCGUGCUUAACACAUGCAAGUCGAACGAAAAGAGGGAAAGAGCUUGCUCUUUCCGGAAUUGAGUGGCAAACGGGUGAGUAACACGUAAACAACCUGCCUUCAGGAUGGGACAACAGACGGAAACGACCGCCAAUACCGAAUAAGUUCCAAGGGCCGCAUGGCCCAUGGAAGAAAAGGUGGCCUCUACCUGUAAGCUAUCGCCCGAAGAGGGGUUUGCGGCUGAUUAGCUGGUUGGAGGGGUAACGGCCCACCAAGGCGACGAUCAGUAGCCGGUCUGAGAGGAUGAACGGCCACACUGGAACUGAGACACGGUCCAGACUCCUACGGGAGGCAGCAGUGGGGAAUCUUCCGCAAUGGGCGAAAGCCUGACGGAGCAACGCCGCGUGAGUGAUGACGGCCUUCGGGUUGUAAAACUCUGUGAUCCGGGACGAAAAGGCAGAGUGCGAAGAACAAACUGCAUUGACGGUACCGGAAAAGCAAGCCACGGCUAACUACGUG
rnacentral:rRNA from 1 species